rnacentral:rRNA from 1 species
GGACAUGGCGGGUGCUAUACAUGCAGUCGAGCGGACAGAAGGGAGCUUGCUCCCGGAUGUUAGCGGCGGACGGGUGAGUAACACGUGGGUAACCUGCCUGUAAGACUGGGAUAACUCCGGGAAACCGGAGCUAAUACCGGAUAGUUCCUUGAACCGCAUGGUUCAAGGAUGAAAGACGGUUUCGGCUGUCACUUACAGAUGGACCCGCGGCGCAUUAGCUAGUUGGUGAGGUAACGGCUCACCAAGGCGACGAUGCGUAGCCGACCUGAGAGGGUGAUCGGCCACACUGGGACUGAGACACGGCCCAGACUCCUACGGGAGGCAGCAGUAGGGAAUCUUCCGCAAUGGACGAAAGUCUGACGGAGCAACGCCGCGUGAGUGAUGAAGGUUUUCGGAUCGUAAAGCUCUGUUGUUAGGGAAGAACAAGUGCAAGAGUAACUGCUUGCACCAUGACGGUACCUAACCAGAAAGCCACGGCUAACUACGUGCCAGCAGCCGCGGUAAUACGUAGGUGGCAAGCGUUGUCCGGAAUUAUUGGGCGUAAAGGGCUCGCAGGCGGUUUCUUAAGUCUGAUGUGAAAGCCCCCGGCUCAACCGGGGAGGGUCAUUGGAAACUGGGAAACUUGAGUGCAGAAGAGGAGAGUGGAAUUCCACGUGUAGCGGUGAAAUGCGUAGAGAUGUGGAGGAACACCAGUGGCGAAGGCGACUCUCUGGUCUGUAACUGACGCUGAGGAGCGAAAGCGUGGGGAGCGAACAGGAUUAGAUACCCUGGUAGUCCACGCCGUAAACGAUGAGUGCUAAGUGUUAUGGGGUUUCCGCCCCUUAGUGCUGCAGCUAACGCAUUAAGCACUCCGCCUGGGGAGUACGGUCGCAAGACUGAAACUCAAAGGAAUUGACGGGGGCCCGCACAAGCGGUGGAGCAUGUGGUUUAAUUCGAAGCAACGCGAAGAACCUUACCAGGUCUUGACAUCCUCUGACAACCCUAGAGAUAGGGCUUUCCCUUCGGGGACAGAGUGACAGGUGGUGCAUGGUUGUCGUCAGCUCGUG